GAGUGUAUCUUCAUCCACGUUGCCCAAGCUAUGUGCUAGCAAUCACAUGGCCAGAGUAGUGUUUGUAGACCUGGAACUCACUGUUAUUAAUGAAGUUUGCAUUGGUACCUACUGCCAGCUUUCCACCCUGAGUUGCUCAUAAAAGGCAACAAAAAUAUUGCCAAUAGCUAUGGCUGUGGACAAUAUACCCUUGGAUAGGACAGCAUUGACCUAAUAUUGGACAAAAUUCUCAAGCUAGCUGACCAGUACAUAGGUCCUCAAGACUUAUUUUUCACAGCUUUAGUAGGAGAAUCAACAUCACAGCCAUUGAUGACUUCAAAUUUGACCUGAUGUCUGUGGAACAUGUCUUUGUAGGUGGGUAACAGCAUUGAGGAAGGGCAGCUUUAUGAGUCCUGUGAGGACAUGGCUAGCCUAGAGAAGGAUUGUGAGGAGACUUGUAUGAAUUCUGUUGGACGAGAACAUGAGGAGAAAGGAGAAGAAUGCUAA
rnacentral:lncRNA from 1 species